rnacentral:rRNA from 1 species
AUGAUGAGGCAGCUCCCCACGACAGCACAACGCAGCAGCUCUCAUGGCAGUAGCUCCCAUGGCAGCACCGCGCAACACCGACGGUGCCCGGCGGCGCCUCACUGCAACCCCUGCCGAAGCUCCGACGACCCCUGCUGCACUUCACUGCAGCUCCGGCAACGCUUCAUUGAAACCCCGGCGGCGCUUCAACGACCCUCGCGACACUUCAUUGCAACCCCGAUGAUGUUUCGCAGCAGCACCAACACCGGCGCGACGGUGCUCUACCGCUGCACCUUGACGCCGCAGGCGAAGCUUCACUGCAGUACCACCACCACGCCGCGGUGCUCCAUCGCAGCAACGGCUGCCCGUCGAAGCUCCACUGCAGCACCCGAUGGCCGCCGGUGA